rnacentral:rRNA from 1 species
GAGCGGACAGAAGGGAGCUUGCUCCCGGAUGUUAGCGGCGGACGGGUGAGUAACACGUGGGUAACCUGCCUGUAAGACUGGGAUAACUCCGGGAAACCGGAGCUAAUACCGGAUAGUUCCUUGAACCGCAUGGUUCAAGGAUGAAAGACGGUUUCGGCUGUCACUUACAGAUGGACCCGCGGCGCAUUAGCUAGUUGGUGGGGUAAUGGCUCACCAAGGCGACGAUGCGUAGCCGACCUGAGAGGGUGAUCGGCCACACUGGGACUGAGACACGGCCCAGACUCCUACGGGAGGCAGCAGUAGGGAAUCUUCCGCAAUGGACGAAAGUCUGACGGAGCAACGCCGCGUGAGUGAUGAAGGUUUUCGGAUCGUAAAGCUCUGUUGUUAGGGAAGAACAAGUGCGAGAGUAACUGCUCGCACCUUGACGGUACCUAACCAGAAAGCCACGGCUAACUACGUGCCAGCAGCCGCGGUAAUACGUAGGUGGCAAGCGUUGUCCGGAAUUAUUGGGCGUAAAGGGCUCGCAGGCGGUUUCUUAAGUCUGAUGUGAAAGCCCCCGGCUCAACCGGGGAGGGUCAUUGGAAACUGGGAAACUUGAGUGCAGAAGAGGAGAGUGGAAUUCCACGUGUAGCGGUGAAAUGCGUAGAGAUGUGGAGGAACACCAGUGGCGAA